rnacentral:lncRNA from 1 species
GUGGCCAUAAGUUCCCUCCUAUUUUACUUGCGACGUCAAAUGUUUUGAAUCCCUGUUUCUUGUCUGUCGAUUAAGCCUAUCCAAGAAGCAUAAUUGUUGAAAAUAUAUACGUGUAAGAUGACUUUUUCCAAUUCUUUGUACUGCAAACUGGCAUUUGACUUAUUAAUUUUUAAAUAUUUGAAUUGUUUACCGAAAUUGCACUUUAUUUACACUUUUUUUUCAGUAAAUCCUUUUAAUAUCUCAAUUCUCAAACAACUUUUAGUGCAAUUUGAUCAACACGUCGGUCAAAACAUGCAAUAUGUUAUGGAUCAUGCUAGACGUACAGUCCCCUCUACCGAAUUUGUUACAGUAUGAUGAUGUGGCGCAAUUUUGAAAAUGUAAAAAUCUCGUAUACAAUUUAGAAAAGAAAAAAAGGAGCCAUUUUGUGAACCCUACCUUUCUCUAUCAUUUUCGUUCUCCCUCGAACACACCACCUGGUGGAAAUGGAAGGAAAAAUUCGACGACGUUGGCAUCAUUGACGCCGGCGUCGACACUGUAUGAACCCCACAUUCUUACUCCCAUCAUUUGAACUGGGCUUACGGAUUUGGAGAAGAAAUGGAAACAGAUAACUUCGUCGCUGGUGACUGCACUGGUAACAUUUAUUUUUCUUGAAAGAUGUUUCUUUUUUAUUUCCUGUCAUUUUUUCCUUUAUAGAACUUGAACUGCUAUUGUUUCAUCGAAGUGUUAAAGUUUGGGAAAAUCUGCUGAUGAAACUUCGACUGAAUACCCACGUUUGGGGAAAUCUGCUAUUGUUCUUGGUCGUUUGCUCUUCGUGCAUAAAUUGUAGAUGAUGAAACUUCGACUGUACAAAUAUGUCAAUGAAAUCUGGCGUUUAAUUCUUAGUUCAGAUUUCUGGAGCUAUCAUAUAUUUUCUUCUUGUUGCAUUUGUUUGAUGUGGCUACAAAUUAUUGUCAAGAUUUGCAAGUCCCUUCCUCCUAGGCCCAAUUCUUUUCUGAUUUUGGGUUCUAAAGCAGCUCACUUUGAAACAGUUUGUGUGAUUGUUUUGCAAUCGUUGUGAAACAGCUGAUUCUGUAAUGGUUAUUGGUUACUGCAAUUGUGGAGUAAAUAUAUAUUUAUUUUGCUUCAGUUCACACUUCCACCUACAAUGACCAAAUGUGUUUUUUUCUUUAUAAAUAAGGCUCUAAUUCUUUUGCUGUAGGCACUAUGUCUGAGUUGUUUCAAAUGUGCUGGAGAAAGUGAAUACUCAGUUGUUAUGCUAUGGUGUUAUGCAAGGAUGAUGUAAAUGGACAAGUCAGAUCAAGAAAGAAAAACGGUUAUAGAGCAUACUAUGGAGGGGACUACUGCCAUGUUAUUCUAAAUUAGUAAUGAUUGUUGAUUUAUGCGCCUAACUAGUAAUGGUGGUUAAGCUGUCUCAGUUAUUUGGUGCCGAAAAGUGAGAAUGCUAUUAUAAAUUAGUAAUGGUGGUUGAUUUGUGCCCCUUACCAUGUAGACAUUUUGUAAGCUAGUUUAUGGUAAUAUUCAUGUGCAUCUUGUGAUAGCACAGAGGUUGGUGCUUAACUGACAAUAAGUUAUUUCAUCUUUGGCACGAACACAUUUGUCCAAGGACAAUGGAUUUAGCUUUGAUGUAGUACAAGAAAAUUGCAAAAUUUUAAUGAUCUUGAAUCAGUAUUGCCAAUUGGCAUUCAUUUGCAAAGGCAAUUGCAUAAAUCUUGAUCAUUUUUGUUGGAAAGUGCUUAAACAGCUACAUGUGGACUGAAUAAUAGGUUGAAUAAUUGCUAAGGAGUUGCUUAAAACUGGAUAUGCAACAAGUGCUUGAAGACCAAGUCUUUAGGGAGAUAGUUGAUGCUAUUUUUUUGUUUAUGCUUUUGAUAUUAGGAAGCUGAUAGUCAUGCCUUGUAAUCAACAAAUUUCUUUGACAUUCUGUUAAACUUUAGCUCUAUACAAGGAGCUGUGCAGUGAAUAAAUAAAACAUAAGUUUCCUGAAAUCAUUUUUUUUCAUUUAUUUCUUUUUGCUUCUUUGUUUUACUCUCGAAUAACAUCAAUUCUAUGGGACUAUAAAUUAGUUCCAGUGACAAGUCCAUAGCUGUAUAACAAUUCUUUUGUUUUACAUUUUUGUUUUGUGAAAAAAAAAAUGGCUUGUGUCCCAGAUGUCUUCGAUUUCAGAUUCUGAAGAAAUUGAGCAUAUACAUCGGUUGGAUUUGUACUCGUCAAUAGAAGCCGACCGCAUAAUCGUUUAGAUCCUCCCAAACUGUUUCCUCAACUUCUUCCCAUGAAUUGGCAAUCUUAAUUCUUUCGACAGGCUGAAAAUAACUCCCAAUAUUAUUAUCACGACGAAUACAUGAUAUGAUCCCAGGUGCACCAUCAAUUCCCAAGAAUUCAUUAAUUGAUUGGAGAAGGUCGAAGUCAAGAACCGAGCCAAGUCGAGACUUUGAAGUAGCUAAUAAAAUUGUUCACUUAUGUAUUCGAGCAACGGAGUCUAAAACCAUGAAGUUCAUGUGUCAAUGAGUAAAUUUGAUGAAGGGGCCGAAGUCUAAUUCAAUUGGGAUUUGCUUGACAAUUGCAGCCGAAGACGGAGCCAAAAUCAAAGAUUGUAUGGCCGCACAACUUCCAACCCCUGCGGCCACAUAGGAGCAAACAAGGAAUUUUUUGGCUGUUGAUGAAGCUUCCAUGCGGCCGCAAUCACUACCACCAUGCGCGCACCACAGAAAAUCGGCUAGAAAAUUUCCUUUCCACGCGAGAAGAUUUGUUUGAGUCAAUUUCUUAUUUUUGGUAACUUUAAUAUUAUAAGGACUCUAAUUUCGUGUUUUACAAUAUUUUAGGAGUUUAUUCCUUUUUAAAUUAG